rnacentral:lncRNA from 1 species
CCUGUUCUUUUUCCUUCACCUGCCCUUUUCCUGCCCCUUUUCCCCUCAGUUUUUCCCAACAUUUCCCCUCAGUUUUUCCCACCCUUUUCCCCACAUUUCCCCUCAGGUUUCCCCAUUUUUUUCCUGCAUUUCCCUUCAGUUCUUGCUGCCCCUUUUUCCACUUUUCCCCUUCUUUUUUCCCACCCUUUUCCCCACAUUUCCCUGUUUCUCCUGCCCUUUUCCCCUCACUUUUUUCCUGCUUUUCCCUCCCUUUUCCCCACAUUUCCUUCACUUUUUCCCACCAUUUUCCCCUCAGUUUUUCCUGCCCUUUUCCCCCACAUUUUCCCUCUUUCUCCUGCCCUUUUCCCCUCACUUUUUCCCUGUUUUCCUCACCCAUUUCCCCACAUUUCCCCUCAGUUUUCCCCAUUUUUUCCCCACAUUUCCCCUCAGUUUUUCCCACCCUUUUCCCCUCAGCUUUUCCCUGCUUUUCCCUACAUUUUCCCUGCUUUUCCAACCCUUUUCCCCUCAGUUUUUCCCACCUUUUUCCCUUCAGUUUUUCCCACCUUUUUCCCCUCAGUUUUUCCUGUUUUCCUCACCCACUUCCCCACAUUUCCCCUCAGUUUUUCCCACCCUUUUCCCCACAUUUUCCCUCUUUCUCCUGCCCUUUUCCCCACAUUUCCCUUCACUUUUUCCUGCUCUUUUCCCCACAUUUCCCCUCAGGUUUCCCACCCCUUUUCCCACAUUUCCCCUCAUUUUUUCCCACAUUUGCCCUCCAUUUUUCCCACCCUUUUCCCCACAUUUCCCCUCAAUUUUCCCCUGCAUUUCCCCUCAGUUUUCCCCAUUUUUUCUCCACAUUUCCCCUCAAUUUUCCCCAUUUUUUCCCCACAUUUCCCCUCAGUUUUCCCCAUUUUUUCCCCACAUUUCCCCUCAGUUUUCCCCAUUUUUUCUCCACAUUUCCCCUCAAUUUUCCCCAUUUUUUCCCCACAUUUCCCCUCAAUUUUCCCCAUUUUUUCCCCACAUUUCCCCUUGUUUUCCCCUCUCCCAACCCCCCAAAAUUCCCAUUUUUUCCCCAGCUCUCUCCACGCUGCUGCUGCUGCCCACGGGCUCGGCUCAAUCC